UGGGGAAUAUUGCACAAUGGGCGAAAGCCUGAUGCAGCGACGCCGCGUGAGGGAUGACGGCCUUCGGGUUGUAAACCUCUUUCAGCAGGGAAGAAGCGAAAGUGACGGUACCUGCAGAAGAAGCGCCGGCUAACUACGUGCCAGCAGCCGCGGUAAUACGUAGGGCGCAAGCGUUGUCCGGAAUUAUUGGGCGUAAAGAGCUCGUAGGCGGUUAGUCGCGUCUGCUGCGAAAACUCGAGGCUCAACCUCGGGCUUGCAGUGGGUACGGGCUGACUAGAGUGCGGUAGGGGUGACUGGAAUUCCUGGUGUAGCGGUGGAAUGCGCAGAUAUCAGGAGGAACACCGAUGGCGAAGGCAGGUCACUGGGCCGCAACUGACGCUGAGGAGCGAAAGCAUGGGGAGCGAACAGGAUUAGAUACCCUGGUAGUCCAUGCCGUAAACGUUGGGCACUAGGUGUGGGGUCCAUUCCACGGAUUCCGUGCCGCAGCAAACGCAUUAAGUGCCCCGCCUGGGGAGUACGGCCGCAAGGCUAAAACUUAAAUGAAUUGAC
rnacentral:rRNA from 1 species